rnacentral:rRNA from 1 species
AACGAACGCUGGCGGCAGGCCUAACACAUGCAAGUCGGACGCCCCGCAAGGGGAGUGGCAGACGGGUGAGUAACACGUGGGAACCUUCCCUAUAGUACGGAAUAGCCCAGGGAAACUUGGAGUAAUACCGUAUACGCCCGAAAGGGGAAAGAAUUUCGCUAUAGGAUGGGCCCGCGUAGGAUUAGCUAGUUGGUGAGGUAAUGGCUCACCAAGGCGACGAUCCUUAGCUGGUUUGAGAGAACGACCAGCCACACUGGGACUGAGACACGGCCCAGACUCCUACGGGAGGCAGCAGUGGGGAAUAUUGGACAAUGGGCGCAAGCCUGAUCCAGCCAUGCCGCGUGAGUGAUGAAGGCCUUAGGGUUGUAAAGCUCUUUUGGCGGGGACGAUAAUGACGGUACCCGCAGAAUAAGUCCCGGCUAACUUCGUG